UACGAAGGGGGCUAGCGUUGCUCGGAAUUACUGGGCGCAAAGCGCACGUAGGCGGUCUUUUAAGUCGGGGGUGAAAUCCUGGAGCUCAACUCCAGAACUGCCUUCGAUACUGGAAGACUCGAGUCCGGGAGAGGUGAGUGGAACUGCGAGUGUAGAGGUGAAAUUCGUAGAUAUCGGGAGGAACACCAGUGGCGAAGGCGGCGAUCUGGACCAGCACUGACACUGAGGCACGAAAGCGUGGGGAGCAAACAGG
rnacentral:rRNA from 1 species